AAUGGCUUUUAGUGAUCUUUGAACAAAGUUUUGGGAACUCCCACUUUGUUUUUUUCUUUCUUGCUUUCUUUCUCUCACUAAACUUCUAUUUUUCUCUCUAUACUUUUCUUUCUCUCUCUAAGUUUUCUAAAAAGUGGAAUAAAAGAGAACAAAUGAAAGUGGGAGAUAAAUAGGGAAAAAAGAGCUCAUUAAAUAGCCAUGGGAGGUGUCCCC
rnacentral:lncRNA from 1 species